AAGUAUAUAUAUGAUUAUCAAUCAUCAGUUUUUUUUUUUUUUUUUUUUUUUUUUU
rnacentral:ribozyme from 14 species